rnacentral:rRNA from 1 species
AGAGUUUGAUCCUGGCUCAGGAUGAACGCUAGCGACAGGCUUAACACAUGCAAGUCGAGGGGCAGCGAGGGAGUGGCAACACUUCCGUCGGCGACCGGCGCACGGGUGAGUAACGCGUAUGCAACCUGCCCUUCACAGGGGGAUAACCGGGAGAAAUUCCGACUAAUACCGCAUACGUCCUCCGGGGGCAUCCCCUGGGGAUGAAAGAAUUAUCGGUGAAGGAUGGGCAUGCGUGAUAUUAGGUAGUUGGCGGGGCAACGGCCCACCAAGCCCACGAUAUCUAGGGGUUCUGAGAGGAAGGUCCCCCACAUUGGUACUGAGACACGGACCAAACUCCUACGGGAGGCAGCAGUGAGGAAUAUUGGUCAAUGGACGAGAGUCUGAACCAGCCAAGUCGCGUGAAGGAAGACGGAUCUAUGGUUUGUAAACUUCUUUAGUGCGGGAACAAAGCGGCGUCGUGACGCCGGAUGAGUGUACCGCAAGAAUAAGCAUCGGCUAACUCCGUGCCAGCAGCCGCGGUAAUACGGAGGAUGCGAGCGUUAUCCGGAUUUAUUGGGUUUAAAGGGAGCGCAGGCUGCGAGGCAAGUCAGCGGUCAAAUGUCGGGGCUCAACCCCGGCCUGCCGUUGAAACUGUCCUGCUAGAGUUCGAGUGAGGUAUGCGGAAUGCGUUGUGUAGCGGUGAAAUGCAUAGAUAUGACGCAGAACUCCGAUUGCGAAGGCAGCAUACCAACUCGCGACUGACGCUGAGGCUCGAAAGCGUGGGUAUCGAACAGGAUUAGAUACCCUGGUAGUCCACGCAGUAAACGAUGAAUACUAACUGUUCGGAGGGCGACCUCUGAGUGGUAAAGCGAAAGCGUUAAGUAUUCCACCUGGGGAGUACGCCGGCAACGGUGAAACU